UAUUCCAACUUUAGACAGAGUAUAUUAGACAGAGUAAAAAAAAAAAUUAUAAAACGACAGACUCUUUUUUCUUCAGAAGAAGAUGAGGAAGGCAAUUACAAAUCAUUACCAAAACCUCCUGCCUUAACAGAACAAUUGACAACUGAUAAGCAGAUUAAAGAUAAGCAGAUUGAUGUGCAACAAAAUAACAACCUAAAUUACCAAGGAAACAAAAAUGAGUCUCUAUUUCUGAACUUAGAAAAAGAAAAUAAUUCUAUAUUUUUCAAUUCAGACAAAGAAAAUAAUCCUUUAUUUGUCAACCUGGACAAAGAAAAUAAUUAUUCCGUGGAAUGCACAUGUCAACUUUGUCUAAUACAUGCUCAGAUACAAAAUAAAACUGGUUAGCCAAGCUUCGCGUAUUGGUGACAAACAUUCGUACGAAUUUAUAAAACGAAAUUUAAGUAAACUCCUAAAUGACAAGUUAGCGCAAGAGUACAGUUGGUUGGGAAAGAAAUACAAAAAAAAAUUUCAUGAAUUGAAAUAAUCGGAAAUGUUAAUUGG
rnacentral:lncRNA from 13 species